GGACGAACGCUGGCGGCGUGCCUAAUACAUGCAAGUCGAACGGUCUUUCUAUGGAAGGCUUGCUUCCGACUGAGAAGAUAGUGGCGAACGGGUGAGUAACACGUGGGUAACCUGCCCAUAAGAGGGGGAUAACAUCCGGAAACGGGUGCUAAUACCGCAUAGUUUUCUUGAUCGCAUGAUCGGGAAGGAAAGACGGCCUUUGUGCUGUCGCUUAUGGAUGGACCCGCGGCGUAUUAGUUAGUUGGUGAGGUAACGGCUCACCAAGACGAUGAUACGUAGCCGACCUGAGAGGGUGAUCGGCCACAUUGGGACUGAGACACGGCCCAAACUCCUACGGGAGGCAGCAGUAGGGAAUCUUCCGCAAUGGACGAAAGUCUGACGGAGCAACGCCGCGUGAGUGAAGAAAAGGUUUUCGGAUCGUAAAACUCUGUUGUCAGAGAAGAACAAGUUGGAGAGUAACUGCUCCAGCCUUGACGGUAUCUGACCAGAAAGCCACGGCUAACUACGUGCCAGCCGCCGC
rnacentral:rRNA from 1 species